rnacentral:lncRNA from 1 species
AUUUACCACAUGCAUGCUACCUCGUACAUUUAGUAUUGUUUAGUCAGUGCUACAAGAGUAUUUAUUGAGUGCAACUAGCAUACUAAUUAUUAAGGGAUAUAGCAAUAGUUAUAUUGUUUACGCGCUACUUCUGUAACGUGUAGCCUCUCGUGCCCCUGCACAUGCGCAUUUACUAAUUGCAUCAUAAGCGCUGUUGCCAGGCCAGAGAGGGCCAUAAAAUCAAUAGCCCUAGUCUUAGUUCUCUCUCCCUCUCGGUUUAAAUUGCUGAUGUGUGAAUAUUCCUGUGUUAGCCUGUAAAAUUAUUGCAGUUGUUGUAAGGCUUUUAUCAGGGCAUAUGCUCACACAUUCUGAUAUAUAUUUAUAGUUUGCAUGUCUAUUUUUGAUUUGCAUAUAUGUAUCUCUUAGUAUCUUGUAAAUGGAUCCUGAUGAUUGCAUUGUCUCUCCCUUUUUCAGAACCACAAAUAUAUGAACAUCUUCAAAUGGAAAAGCUCUGUCAGCGCUCGUGUGUGGUGACCAUCAAGAGUACAGGCCUCCACAUCAUGAAUAUGACCGGACAGCACUAUAGUAGGCAGAACCAAAACAUAUCAGCAUUAAGCACUAACGGGCCUCCCUUUAAGCAAACUUGAAAUAAUUUGGACGUGGGUUGUGCACGACUCAUUGGGGUUUAUUAUUUUUUAUUUAUUUUGAUGUGGUGCUUAGAAAAUGUAAUUAUACACAUCUUGAACCUUAUUUAUGUGUGUUGCCUUGGUGGAGUCAUUUCGUGUUUCAAUUUCAUUUAAUGCAUGGGAAAGUAUAUCCUUAUACAAUAACAAAAACCUAUAAUCAUUCCAUCUGACGUUAAUCCCCUAACGUAAACUCACUCACUUUUGUACAUCGCCUUGGUCCGUAAAAUUGACCUUAUUUUAGCACCCCAAAACCGUAAUACUUCCAGAUCAACUGUAAUGUCAAUACCACUGUAAAGCACAGUUUCU